rnacentral:rRNA from 1 species
ACCUCAGAGCAGGCGAGAUCA